UACGUAGGGUGCGAGCGUUAUUCGGAAUUACUGGGCGUAAAGUGUGCGCGGGCGGCACUGCAAGUCGAGUGUGAAAUCCCCGAGCUUAACUUGGGAAUUGCGUUCGAAACUACGGCGCUGGAGUAUGGCAGAGGAAGGUGGAAUUCCACGUGUAGCGGUGAAAUGCGUAGAGAUGUGGAGGAACACCGAUGGCGAAGGCAGCCUUCUGGGCCAAUACUGACGCUCAUGCACGAAAGCGUGGGGAGCAAACAGG
rnacentral:rRNA from 1 species